UGGACCCCACUAAAUGUGAGAUGUGUGGAUGUCAGCACCUUCCCUCACCUGAUGGAUGGAUGGUGCUGCCAGGCGGCUCAGACAAUCCAUCACGCGGAGUCUACUUAAACGGCCGGCUUGGCUCUGCUCCUCUGGCGUGACUCUGAAGGGCAGCUGUGCGUGUGUGGGAGACCAAGGAAUUGAGGGGAAAUGUUCGCGCACAUUCCUUCAGAAGAGGGGCUUUUGCUGCAAAGAGAGGGCCGCGGAAUUUCCUAAGUGAUCUGGUUUGCAUUCCCUCUCAAGUCGGAUCCAUCUACAGAAGUUAUUAAAGAGCCCUUGCUACAGCCAAGGCCUGAAUUGAUUAGAAUCAUACACAGGCCCCUCUCCACUUUCUCGCUCACCAUAC